AAGUCGUAACAAGGUUUCCGUAGGUGAACCUGCGGAAGGAUCAUUGGUGAAGUGAGGGAGAGAGAGAGUUGGAACGAAGGAGCAAUAUAUUCAUUUUCAUAUACAAUCCAAUCACAACUGCUGACAAUGGAUCUCUGGGCUCUU
rnacentral:misc_RNA from 1 species